GUUUGUGGGUCUUGAGGGUUCUAUUUGGUGGUGAUUGUGAAGCAGUUCUUAUCAGUAGUCAUUGCGAAGUUUGAGAGCUGGGAAAUUGGAAUUAUUUUUCAAGUUGUGAGCAUUGUGGAACCUGGAAGUUUUACUUGUUGAUUGGUUAACUUUUGGCAUUUUGCAUUUGGAGUAGUUGACUCUUUGGUUAUUUAGUGAAUGAGAGUUGUGCAUUGGGUGAUAUUU
rnacentral:misc_RNA from 1 species